UGGCCACGUCGAUGGAUGCGGCGGUCAGGGACCCGACCGACGCUGAGGGAGCAAGGGAAUUGCAGAGAUCGGGGUACGAUGCUUUUUUGCAUUCGGAGGUGGCGUCGAAGAGGGAGCGGUCAUUGACGCGGCGGAGGACGCGAGCUUCUGUUAUGGUGGCCCCGAGAAGGAGGAGCAGAGCGGCAGGCAGGAUGAGUGGGAGAGAGGCGGUUUGGUGCUGUCGCCCCAUGGUGGCUCUCUUGGAGGGUUUGGAAACUGAGGAGAGCCAAAGAGCAGUGGAAGAGAAGAGGGAGGCGGAGGUUGGACAUAGAUUUGCAAGUGUUUAUAUAGGUGUGCGGAGAUGGAUGUGGCCAAAUGUACGUGAAGGAGAGAGGAGGAGGAGGGAAGAAGGAUCCGUUCUCCUGGUUUAUCUCCCAAACAUACGUGGGUGUAGGGCUGACCAUAAAUGUCGCUGUGGGUCCGACUUGGUCAGAGCUAAAAAAAAAAAUCAUAAGUAUUUUGUUUAUCCUCCCUAACGACUCACUCGUUGCUAUUUAAAUACCAGGAAGGAGGACUCCUGUCAUAAUAAAAUAGUUUUUUUUAUUUUUUUUAAUACUAUUUUUCUUUUUUCUCAUCUUAAUCUUCGACUCGUAUACAUUCUAACUCUUACGAACAGAGGAGGAUACAUUCAUAGUAUUAUAUCCCAUCUACUUUGUAGGUUUUUGAAUUUAGAGCACUUGGCUCAUAGCAUACCUCCACAUCAUCUACCUCAACUAUUCCAAGAGCGUACGUACAAGAAAGGGUCCAUAUUGGCUCCAAGAAGUCAAUCGGUUAUCAUAUGAGAUCCUAAACUUGCGAUAAUAAAAUGAUAAAUUAAUCAUGCUCUAAUCUCUUACGAGGUGGAUAUCCGAUAUCACAUGAAAGAAAAUUCAGAUUAAGCAUGCGCAUAUUUAGCUCGACAUCCUUAUAAGAAGAUGGUGUAUGAUGCAAAUACUAAUAAAUCUUUAGAGAUGAAUAAAAAAAAAAAUCCCAUCCGUAUAUACCCAAAAGAAAAACGCUAAGUUGCACAACAAUAAUGACUAUAAAAAUAAAUAAAUCUGCACAGGCGAAUUAUUUCAAUGAAUCACAAACAAACAAAGGCCUAAUGUGCAGGUAAUUAAUUCUAGACCACUAGAAUCUCAACCAUGUAUUCACAAACCCGAACACCAAGAGUCCGACAAUACAAAAAAUUCCCAAGAAUGUUUGCAUCGAAAAAAAUCAACACGGGAAAAGCCUGAAUAGUUCGGGAAACUCACUUAUUAGCCAACAUAGAACAAAAAAGGCAUGACCUAAGAACGCAAGCUUAAUGAGCAGCACAUAGUCAGAUCAAACCAAACUUUAGGUGUUUUUGCCAUCUUCAUCUAGUGGUAUUUGACUCUUCUAGAACUACUUUUCUAGUGACCCCCUUGUAUAUAUACGUACAUGCAUUAAGACGAUCCAGCUCCUCCCGAUGCUCAUUCAGCACUGCUCGAACGACAUCACCAAUGGAGACCAUGCCAAUCAUACCUUUGUCAUCAACCACAGGGAUAUGCCUAAUGCGGUCGUCUACAGAUAAAAAAAGUCAUAACAACAGUGUUAUCAGUCAAUCUAUCUACGCGAGCAACUAAUUGUACUUACAGAACAAACCUGUCAUAAGCUGCAUGGCCCGCAGAACCUUGGUAUCUGGUGUCACAGUGAUCAAUUUAUUCUGGUCAUAAGAAACCAACGAUACUUUGUCAUAAGGCAGAAUGCAAAUGAAGGAUAAAAUCUUAGUCCAUGUCACCAUUGAACGACAGGUUUGGUACUGUACUGGUAUCAUAUGAUGAAGCAAGUAUCGAUAUGGUACAGUAAAAUCGAUACAGACCAUUAUUAGAACGGAGGGAGAGAGAGAGAGACUAGCUGGAGAUAGUGAGUACAAAAUAACGCAGGAAUGUAUCGGAGGAAAGGCAGCGGUAGGCCGUGACGUGAUAAAGAGAAUGGGUUAGAUUACACGAUUUAUCUAAUUAGAUAAAAUAUAUUAUAAAUAUGAUUUAUUUUGAUCAUGAUUAUUAAUUAAUAAAAAAAAUUAAUUAUAGUAUAAUUCUUUAUAAUAUAUUUUGAUAUGAAACUUCCUUAAUUAUUUAUAUUAGACUAUUUUCUCUCGUCUAUAAAAUGACAUGAUCUUUUAAAGACUCGACGUGAAUUCACAGAUAAUUAAAUACAUGAUAUGUAAAUAAAUAAAUAAAGAUGGAGAUAUAUGAUAUUAUUGGGAGAUUACAUACAUUUUCUCAUAUCACAUUAAUCACGUGAACUAGUUAAUGAGAUAUUACAUAUCUUUUCUCAUCUUCCUUUUAUUCUUAAUCAAUCGCUUAUAACAGUCAUGUGAAGGAUAAGAAAAGAUGAAAAUAUGAGUUUAGUUCUCCUUGCAUACUGGCAUCGUUGUAACUUUUGAAUUCGACAAUGGUGCACCUGCAUAUCACAUAAAAUUUUUUUGAAUGAUAUCUAAAGGUACGCUUCAUAAAUUUGAUCUAUUAUUAUUUGAUUUUAUUUUUUUAUAUUAUAGUUUUUUGCAUAACAAUAACAUAAAAUUAGUUUUUUAUGUUUAUAAUUGGUAUCAAAACCAAAUUUAUGAAAUCAAAUACUUUAGAUAUAUUUGUUAGCACAUUUCACUAUGUUGUUCGAUUUUGAUUUGCAAUGCUUAAACGAUUCAUGUGUAUUACUAAUCUACUUUUAUAUUUAGUUUAACAUAUCGUCUGUGGGUGAUAUAAGAUUCUUUGUGUUUGAUCGAUGGACUAUUGUCGAUAAUUUACUAUUAGCAAUAGUAUUAUUAAGGGUGAUGGUCUUCGAUGGUCGCCAGCCCAAUCAUGGGCAACAAUUGCAUAUGCAGCGAAAGCUUUGUAGAUUACGACAACCUUAUGGCAGAUGCAAUUUGUCUUAUGGCUACGGUGGCUAUGCAACACUACUGCUUGCGAUGGCUUUGGCUAUUGUCACUACAUACGGUGGCUAUAGUAACGUCGCUGCGUGUAAUAACUACAGUAAUGCCAUUGCCUAUGUGGCUACAACGAUUGUUGUUGCUUGAGGCAACUGUAGCAGCAUCGUCACUACUUGUAGUAGUUGUAGCAAUGUUGAUGUGACAACAUAUGUUGCCACACUCGGUGUCACUAAAAGCCAAAGACCAAUGACGUCAUCGGGCAAUGUGUGUGUACACAAUCACGUUGCGACGACUAUGGGGGUCACCUUGAGUCGCACAUGCGUGGUAACAAUUGUUUGAGGCGGGGUGACGACCCACAAGCGAUGAUCACUCAUGACAGUGAUUGUGCGAAGGGAGUAGAAUUAGGGGUGUUUUUUUAAUAAAAGAAUAUUUUUACCCUACAUAAUUAGAAAAAAAAUUAGCUUGUGUCCUUUUGACAAUUUUGAUCUUCACAAAUUAGAUAUAUUUUUACAUAUCAUAACAAAAUUAUAUUUUUACCCUUGAAAAAUUAAAAUUUUCUAACUUGUCUUCAAUGAUAAAAUUGAUUAAUUUGAUUUAUUUUAAUCAAAUAUUUUGAUCGGACUUUAUCAUUAUUGUAUUUUGACUACUUGACUAUAUUUAGGUUUGAUCAAUUAAGUUUUGAUCGAUUUCCACAAAAAGUCAAAAUUUGAUUUUAAUCAACAUUAAUCUUAAUGAGCCUAACUGGGUAAAUGUUCAACUCAAAUCUAUGAGCCUAAUUUGGGUAACUUAAUUUUGGGUCUAGUCAAUUAAAUAUGGUUGAUUAAUAUAAGAGUUCGAUACGAAAUUUUAAAAUAUAGAUAAAUCAUGAUUUUCUUUGAUAGUUUUCUUAUAUGACAUCGAUAAAAUUUUAUAUGUGAUAAAUAAAAAAAUAAUUAUUAUUCUUGAAUAUUUGUUUGAUUAUUCACAUGCAUAUGUUUAAAAUUAUAAAAUGAUAUUUAUUUUUCACAUAAAAACAUAAUUUUUGUUUUUUUUCAUUAUUAUAGUUUUCAUGUGUUUUUCUGAUUAAUAUUUAAUUAUUAUUAUUAUUUAAAUAUUUUAAUAUAAGUUAAAUAAGAAAUUAGGUGAAUAUUCUUUGUAACUCAUAUUUCUAAAUUUUAUCUGAUUGGUAACUAAAGAUAUAUUUAUAAGGUAUGAAUUAUAAUAAAAUAUUAUAAUUUAUAUAAAAUAUAAUAUUUUAAAUUAUAUUAGAUAUUGUUGUAUGGGUCGGUGGCCUAGGGUUAGGUCUUAUAGAUAGGCGACUGAGUCUCUCGAACUCGUAGGCGACGCCGAGGAUGGGUACGAUGGAUUUGACGGAGGAGGGGACGAGCUCGCAGUCGGGCGGGGCAGGCGCAUCCUCCUCCUGCUGCACGUCCAGCAUCGUCGGCAUCCGCGUCAUCUUCCUAGAGGGUGCUUUCCGGAGCUUCAGCCCACCGGCGCCCUCCCCUCCUCCGUGGUUGCUGCCGCUCGCCAUCAAGCCCUGCCUCCCUUCUUUUCCUUCCUCGCUUCUCUUCUUCUCGUCCCAAGCAAAUCUUUAAGGGUUUUUUUUGUGGCAGAAUAGUGUCUUUAGCUUUUCCUUUCUGCGCUCCACCAGCUGUACUGUUCUUUUCCGGGUUUCGAUUUGGCGAUGGGGGGAUCGAAGGAAGGAAUGUGGUACAGGAAAGGAAGAGACGGAGAGAAAAAUAAAAACGAAGGUGGAUGCGAUUGUGAGCGGGAGUCAGGCAAGGACGUAAUUAAUUGGCCAAGCGGACUGGGUUUCGUGUUUCGGACGGCAAGGAUCGAGUCGAUGCUCCGCUUGCCGCCCAGGGCUACCGUAGGAUAUUCGAAAAAGCCAAAACUUAUAGUCAUUUCGUGGAAGACAUGCAUGCAGUGCAUGCGAACGUGGAGUAGCAGUAAGCAAACCAAAUGAAUAAAAAGACGAGGAGAAGGUGGUCUAUAACCGAGACAUGAAUCUUAAACCUCACAGCUUCACAGAUCAUUUUAAAUCAUUUAAUCCAAAUAAAAACAUCCUCCACCUUCACUUCUAUGGUCAAUAUAUUAUCUCGCCAGUUGCUCUUUACGUGGAUGUCUCUCCUCAGUUCUUCAAAGUAGAAGCCAGGUCCAGGCUAUUGCUAACCAGUUUCGAAAGGUGGUCGUUGAUAUCGGCAACAGGUGACACCAAACCCGGCCAAUCCUGGAACGCAUCAGCGCAGUUGGCCUUGAGGCUCAUCGCGGCGGAGAGGUUCACCAUGAGGUCAGUGUGCGCUGCAUCCUUGAGGUUCUUGGCUGACAACUGGAGACUGUCAGCUACGGAGCUGAAGGCAUCACGGCAAACACACAGGGUGGACUUCAUCAGCUUCUCGGUGCCAGGGGCUUUCAUAAGCUUGGCGGAAAUGGCUGCUGCCUCCUUGGCUUUGGACGUGGCCACGUCGAUGGAUGCGGCGGUCAGGGACCCGACCGACGCUGAGGGAGCAAGGGAAUUGCAGAGAUCGGGGUACGAUGCUUUUUUGCAUUCGGAGGUGGCGUCGAAGAGGGAGCGGUCAUUGACGCGGCGGAGGACGCGAGCUUCUGUUAUGGUGGCCCCGAGGAGGAGGAGCAGGGCGGCAGGCAGGAUGAGUGAGAGAGAGGCGGUUUGGUGCUGUCGACCCAUGGUGGCUCUCUUGGAGGGUUUGGAAACUGAGGAGAGCCAAAGAGCAGUGGCAGAGAAGAGGGAGGCGGAGGUUGGAGAUAGAUUUGCAAGUGUUUAUAUAGGAGGAGCUUGGAUAGGUGUGCGGAGAUGGAUGUGGCCAAAUGUACGUGCAGGAGAGAGGAGGAGGAGGGAAGAAGGAUCCGUUCUCCUGGUUUAUCUCCGAACCAUACGUCGAUGUAUGGCUGACCAUAGAUGUCACUGUGGGUGCGACUUGGUCAGAACUAAAAAAAAACCUAACGAUUCACUCGUUGCUCUUUAAAUACUAGGAAAGAGGACUCCUGGCAUAAUAAAAUAGUUUUUUCUUUUUUCUCGCCUUAAUAUUCAACUCCAACACAAUCUAACUCUUACGAUCGGCGGAGGAUACAUUCUUAGAGACCGUGUUGGCUCGUAGGUUUGUGAAUUUAGAGUGCUUGGCUCGUAGCUUACCUCCACAUCAUUUACCUCAAGUAUUCCAAGAGCGUGCUUACAAAAAAGGGACCGUGUUGGCUCUAUUAUCCUAUAUUUAUAUGAACGAACUGAAUCCGACAGCUUCGCAUCGGUCUUAGGAGGGCUUUCCAAAGCGUCCAACCAGGCCUCACAACCUACUCCAGAAGAAACUACAAUCACCAUCUGAUAUAUUCCCAACGACGAGCAGUGCCAUCCUUCGACGGGCCCAACAUGACCUGCCUUUGAAUUCCACUGAGACUAACUUGCGUUGUAAGCUCUCAUUUCCAUCAUAAUCCAAACAAUUUAAUCUUACGGCUUUGAAAAUAUUGUUAAACAGACAUCAUCAAUACAAAAAGAAGUCAAUCGGUUAUCAUCUGAGAUUCUAAACAUGCCAUAAUAAAAUGCCCGAUUAAUCAUACUCUAAUCUCUUACGAGGUGGAUCUCUGAUGUCACAUGGAAGACAGUUCGGAUUAAGCAUGCACACAUUUGGCUUGACAUCCUUAUAAGAAGAAGGUGUAUGAUGCAGAUACUAAUAAAUCUUUGGAGAUGAAUAAAAAAAAUCCCAUCAGUAUAUACCCAAAAGAAAAACGCUGAGUUGCACAACAAUAAUGACUAAUAAAUAAAUCUGCACAGGCGAAUUAUUACAAUGAAUCACAAAUAAACAAAGACCUAAAAUGCAGGUUAUUUUAAACCAUUAGAAUCUCGACCAGAUAUUCACAAACUCGAACACCUAGAUUCGACAAUACAAAACAUUCCCAAGAAUAUUUACAUUGAAAACAUUACUUUUUGUUGGUAAUCAACACUGGAAAAGCCUGAAUAGUUCACGAUAAUUAACCACACAAAGAGCCACAACCAGCCACAAUAAUAACUCUGAUGAACACAAAAAAAAGUCUGAUGAGCUUGCAUAAACCCACUGAUUAGCCAACAUAGAACAAGAAAAGCAUGACAUAAGCAUGCAAGUUUGAUGAGUAGCACAUGGUCAGAUCAAAGCAAACUUUCGGUUUUUUGCCAUCUUUAUCUAGCAUUAUUAGACUCUGCUAGAACUACUUUUCCAGUGACCCCCUUGUAUACAUACAUGCAUUAAGGCAGUUCAGCUCCACGUGAUGCUCAUUCACCAAUGAGCCUACUGAGAAACUCACUUAUUAGCCAACAUAGGACAAGAGAAGCAUGACCUAAGCACACAUGCUUAACAAAAAGCACACUAUCUGCUAAAAGCAAACUUUAGUUUUUUUCGUCAUCAUCAUUGAACAUUAUUAGACUCUAGAUCUACUUUGCUAGUAACCCCCUUGUAUAUAUGCAUUAAGGCGGUCCAGCUCCUCCCGAUGCUCAUUCACCACUGCUCGAACAACAUCACCAAUGGAGACCAUGCCAAUCAUACCUUUGUCAUCAACCACAGGGAUAUGCCUAAUGCGGUUGUCUACAGAUAGAAAAAGUCAUAACAACAAUGUUAUCAGUCAAUCUAGCCACACAAGCAACUAAUUGUACUUACAGAACAAACCUGUCAUAAGCUGCAUGGCCCGCAGAACCUUGGUAUCUGGUGUCACAGUGAUCAAUUUAUUCUGGUCAUAAGAAACCAAAAAUACUUUGUCAUAAGGCAGAAAAUGUAAUGCAAAUGAAGGAAAAAAUCUUAGUACAUAUCACCAUUGAACGACAGGAUUCGUACAGUACUGGUAUCAUACAAUGAACCGAGUAUCAAUAUGGUACGGUAAAAUCAAUAUAGACCACUAUUAGAAUAGAGGGAGAGAGAGAAGAAGAGGAAGAGGAGAUAGCGAGUACAAAGUAACACAGAUAUGUAGCAGAGGAGGAGAGGCAGCAUUGGGUGGUGAUGUGACAAGGAGAAGCAACAACAACAAGAAUGAUGGGUGCUGAUGCCAGAUGUUAG
rnacentral:lncRNA from 1 species